rnacentral:rRNA from 1 species
UAAUACGGAGGGUGCGAGCGUUAAUCGGAAUUACUGGGCGUAAAGAGUGCGUAGGUGGUUAAUUAAGUUAUGUGUAAAAUCCCUGGGCUCAACCUGGGCAGGUCAUAUAAUACUGAUUGACUCGAGUAUGGGAGAGGGUAGUGGAAUUUCCGGUGUAGCGGUGAAAUGCGUAGAGAUCGGAAGGAACACCAGUGGCGAAGGCGGCUACCUGGCCUAAUACUGACACUGAGGCACGAAAGCGUGGGGAGCAAACAGG